GACGAACGCUGGCGGCAGGCUUAACACAUGCAAGUCGAACGCAUCCUUCGGGGUGAGUGGCAGACGGGUGAGUAACGCGUGGGAACGUGCCCUUCAGUUCGGGAUAACCUAGGGAAACUUGGGCUAAUACCGGAUACGUGCGAGAGCAGAAAGAUUUAUCGCUGAAGGAUCGGCCCGCGUCUGAUUAGCUAGUUGGUGGGGUAAUGGUCCACCACGGCGACGAUCAGUAGCUGGUCUGAGAGGAUGAUCAGCCACAUUGGGACUGAGACACGGCCCAAACUCCUACGGGAGGCAGCAGUGGGGAAUAUUGGACAAUGGGCGCAAGCCUGAUCCAGCCAUGCCGCGUGAGUGAUGAAGGCCUUAGGGUUGUAAAGCUCUUUCGUCCGGGACGAUAAUGACGGUACCGGAAGAAGAAGCCCCGGCUAACUUCGUGCCAGCCGCCGCUGUAA
rnacentral:rRNA from 1 species